rnacentral:rRNA from 1 species
UACUAGAGUAGCACUCGCAUAUCAAUAAGCGGAGGAAAAGAAACUAACAAGGAUUCCCUUAGUAACGGCGAGUGAAGCGGGAAGAGCUCAAAUUUGAAAUCUUCAAGGGUUCUACCUUGACGAAUUGUAGUUUAAAGAAGUGUUUUCUGUUGAGGUUUGGUAAAAGUUCUUUGGAAUAGGACAUCAUAGAGGGUGAGAAUCCCGUAUUUGGUCAUUCCUCCUAGCGUUGUGAUACACUUUCAACGAGUCGGAUUGUUUGGGAAUGCAGUCCAAAAUGGGUGGUAAAUUUCAUCUAAAGCUAAAUAUUGGCGAGAGACCGAUAGCGAACAAGUACCGUGAGGGAAAGAUGAAAAGAACUUUGAAAAGAGAGUUAAACAGUACGUGAAAUUGUCAAAAGGGAAGCGUUUGACACCAGUGUUGUUUUUCCGAAAAUCAAUUACGAAUGUUUUAUUUUUGAGGAGUUAUGACUUCAUCGGCUUGCUUCUCUUCUUUAUGAAACUUUCUUAAUGCACUUUUCGGUUAACAAGUCAACAUCAAUUUCUUUUGUUGUAAAAGGGUAUGAGGAAGGUGGCUUUCUUUUCGGAGAAAGUGUCUAUAGCCUUGUAGCCUCUAGCAAUCGGAGAGAUUGAGGUCUGCAGCGUAGAUCCUUCGGGGUUAGAUACAGUUUGUGCUAAGUUAUAGCUUUUCAUAGACAACUUGUUGACUAUGUUUAGUCUUGUAGCUUACUCGCUGACUGCUAUUCUACCUACGCUUAGGAUGUUGAUAUGCAUGACUGAUAU